UAAGGAAUAUUGGACAAUGGAGGCAACUCUGAUCCAGCCAUGCCGCGUGAAGGAAUAAGGCCCUAUGGGUUGUAAACUUCUUUUAGACGGGACAAAACCCCUUUACGUGUAAAGGGUUGAUGGUACUGUCAGAAUAAGCAUCGGCUAACUUCGUGCCAGCAGCCGCGGUAAUACGAAGGAUGCAAGCGUUAUCCGGAAUUAUUGGGUUUAAAGGGUGCGUAGGCGGACUAAUAAGUCAGUGGUGAAAGCCUGCAGCUUAACUGCAGAAUUGCCAUUGAUACUGUUAGUCUUGAGUACAGUUGAGGUAGGCGGAAUGUGUCAUGUAGCGGUGAAAUGCUUAGAUAUGACACAGAACACCGAUUGCGAAGGCAGCUUGCUAAGCUGUAACUGACGCUGAGGCACGAAAGCGCGGGGAGCAAACA
rnacentral:rRNA from 1 species